rnacentral:rRNA from 1 species
UUUCUCAAUGGGGAACCCCUGAAGGAGCGACGCCGCGUGGAGGAUGAAGGUUUUCGGAUUGUAAACUCCUGUCAUUUGGGAACAAACCUUUCAUUUAACUGAUGAAAGACUGAUAGUACCAGAAGAGGAAGAGACGGCUAACUCUGUGCCAGCAGCCGCGGUAAUACAGAGGUCUCAACCGUUGUUCGGAUUCAUUGGGCGUAAAGGGUGCGUAGGCGGUCGCGCAAGUCGGAUGUGAAAUCUCAGGGCUCAACCCUGAAACUGCAUUCGAUACUGCGUGGCUAGAGUGCUGGAGGGGAGACUGGAAUUUACGGUGUAGCAGUGAAAUGCGUAGAUAUCGUAAGGAAGACCAGUGGCGAAGGCGAGUCUCUGGACAGCAACUGACGCUGAGGCACGAAGGCCAGGGGAGCAAACGGGAUUAGAUACCCCGGUAGUCCUGGCAGUAAACGGUGCACGUUUGGUGUAGGCGGAUUCGACCCCGCCUGUGCCGGGACUAACGCGUUAAACGUGCCGCCUGGGAAGUACGGUCGCAAGAUUAAAACUCAAAUAAAUUGACGGGGGCCGCACAAGCGGUGGAGUAUGUGGCUUAAUUCGAUGCAACGCGAAGAACCUUACCAGGGUUUGACAUGUAUUGUGUCGCAGGUGAAAGCCUGCUAGCUGGGUUAAACCAGCGCUUUACACAGGUGCUGCAUGACUGUCGUCAGCUCGUGUCGUGAGAUGUUGGGUUAAGUCCCGCAACGAGCGCAACCCCUGUGUCCUGUUGCCACCCCUUAAUUGGGAGCACUCUGGACAGACUGCCCUGUGAAACGGGGAGGAAGGUGGGGAUGACGUCAAGUCAGCAUGGCCCUUACACCCUGGGCUGCACACGUACUACAAUGCUCAGUACAAUAGGAGCCGAAACCGCGAGGUGGAGGAAACCACUAAAACUGAGCCCAAUUCGGAUCGCAGGCUGCAACUCGCCUGCGUGAAGCCGGAAUCGCU